rnacentral:rRNA from 1 species
GACGAACGCUGGCGGCGCGCUUAACACAUGCAAGUCGAACGGAAAGGCCUGCUUUCCCUUGUGGAUUGCGGGUACUCGAGUGGCGAACGGGUGAGUAACACGUGAGUGAUCUGCCCCCAACUUGGGUAUAAGCCUGGGAAACUGGGUCUAAUUCCCGAUAGGACUGCAGGGUGGUGCCUGUGGUGGCAAACGAUUUUCUAGUGGUUGGGGAUGAGCUCGCGGCCUAUCAGCUUGUUGGUGGGGUAAUGGCCUACCAAGGCGGCGACGGGUAGCCGGCCUGGGAGGGUGGACGGCCAAAUUGGGACUGAGUUACGGCCCAGACGCGUACGAGAGGCAGCAGUGGGGAAGAUUGCACCAUGGGCGGAAGCCUGAUGCAGCGACGCCGCGUGGGGGAUGACGGCCUUCGGGUUGUAAACUCCUUUCGACCGCGAGGAAGCCAAGUGGUUGGAAGGGUGGUGACGGUAGUGGUAGAAGAAGCACCGGCUAACUACGUG